GGGACCGGACCAGCACCUUCUGUGGGACCCCGGAGUUCCUGGCCCCUGAGGUGCUGACGGACACGUCAUACACUCGGGCUGUGGACUGGUGGGGGCUGGGUGUGCUGCUCUACGAGAUGCUGGUUGGUGAGUCCCCAUUCCCAGGGGAUGACGAGGAGGAGGUCUUCGAUAGCAUCGUCAACGACGAGGUUCGCUAUCCUCGCUUCCUGUCGGCCGAAGCCAUCGGCAUCAUGAGAAGGGUAAGGACCCCCGACGUGGGGGGGGCCUGGGGAGGGGCACUGGGGCCCAGGAGGGGACAGAUCCUGACACAGUGCUCCUUCCUCCAAGCUGCUGCGGAGGAACCCAGAGCGGAGGCUGGGAUCUAGCGAGAGAGAUGCAGAAGAUGUGAAAAAACAGCCCUUCUUCAGGACUCUGGGCUGGGAAGCCCUGUUGGCCCGGCGCCUGCCACCGCCCUUUGUGCCCACGCUGUCCGGCCGCACCGACGUCAGCAACUUCGACGAGGAGUUCACCGGGGAGGCCCCACACUGAGCCCGCCGCGCGACGCGCGGCCCCUCACAGCCGGGGAGCAGGCAGCCUUCCUGGACUUCGACUUCGUGGCCGGGGGCUGCUAGCCCCCUCCCCUGCCCCUGCCCGAGAGCUCUUAGUUUUUAAAAAGGCCUUUGGGAUUUGCCCG
rnacentral:sRNA from 1 species